GUAGAUAUGAUGAAAUUGGUAAACAUGUUAGAUUUAGGAUCUAGUAACUUAUAACAGUUGUGCGGGUUCGAGUCCUGCUAUCUACA
rnacentral:tRNA from 1 species